UACAGAGACUGCAAGCGUUAUUCGGAUUCACUGGGCGUAAAGGGUGCGCAGGCGGCCAAGUGUGUGAGACGUGAAAGCCUGGAGCUUAACUCCAGAAUUGCACCUCAAACUACAUGGCUAGAGCAUGGAGAGGUAGCAGAAUCAUGGUGUAGCAGUGAAAUGCGUAGAUAUCAUGAGGAAUACCAGAGGCGAAGGCGGCUACCUGGACAAUUGCUGACGCUCAGGCACGAAAGCGUGGGGAGCAAAAGGG
rnacentral:rRNA from 1 species